rnacentral:rRNA from 1 species
UACGUAGGGGGCUAGCGUUGUCCGGAUUUAUUGGGCGUAAAGAGCGUGUAGGCGGCCAUGUAGGUCCGGUGUGAAAACUCGAGGCUUAACCUCGAGAUGUCAUCGGAAACCAUUUGGCUAGAGUCCGGAAGAGGAGAGUGGAAUUCCUGGUGUAGCGGUGAAAUGCGCAGAUAUCAGGAGGAACACCGGUGGCGAAGGCGGGUCUCUGGGCCGAUACUGACGCUGAGGAGCGAAAGCGUGGGUAGCAAACAGG